rnacentral:rRNA from 1 species
AGAGUUUGAUCAUGGCUCAGGACGAACGCUGGCGGCGUGCCUAAUACAUGCAAGUAGAACGCUGAAGAGAGGAGCUUGCUCUUCUUGGAUGAGUUGCGAACGGGUGAGUAACGCGUAGGUAACCUGCCUUGUAGCGGGGGAUAACUAUUGGAAACGAUAGCUAAUACCGCAUAACAAUGGAUGACACAUGUCAUUUAUUUGAAAGGGGCAAUUGCUCCACUACAAGAUGGACCUGCGUUGUAUUAGCUAGUAGGUGAGGUAAUGGCUCACCUAGGCGACGAUACAUAGCCGACCUGAGAGGGUGAGCGGCCACACUGGGACUGAGACACGGCCCAGACUCCUACGGGAGGCAGCAGUAGGGAAUCUUCGGCAAUGGGGGCAACCCUGACCGAGCAACGCCGCGUGAGUGAAGAAGGUUUUCGGAUCGUAAAGCUCUGUUGUAAGUCAAGAACGGGUGUGAGAGUGGAAAGUUCACACUGUGACGGUAGCUUACCAGAAAGGGACGGCUAACUACGUGCCAGCAGCCGCGGUAAUACGUAGGUCCCGAGCGUUGUCCGGAUUUAUUGGGCGUAAAGCGAGCGCAGGCGGUUUGAUAAGUCUGAAGUUAAAGGCUGUGGCUCAACCAUAGUUCGCUUUGGAAACUGUCAAACUUGAGUGCAGAAGGGGAGAGUGGAAUUCCAUGUGUAGCGGUGAAAUGCGUAGAUAUAUGGAGGAACACCGGUGGCGAAAGCGGCUCUCUGGUCUGUAACUGACGCUGAGGCUCGAAAGCGUGGGGAGCGAACAGGAUUAGAUACCCUGGUAGUCCACGCCGUAAACGAUGAGUGCUAGGUGUUGGAUCCUUUCCGGGAUUCAGUGCCGCAGCUAACGCAUUAAGCACUCCGCCUGGGGAGUACGACCGCAAGGUUGAAACUCAAAGGAAUUGACGGGGGCCCGCACAAGCGGUGGAGCAUGUGGUUUAAUUCGAAGCAACGCGAAGAACCUUACCAGGUCUUGACAUCCCGAUGCUAUUUCUAGAGAUAGAAAGUUACUUCGGUACAUCGGUGACAGGUGGUGCAUGGUUGUCGUCAGCUCGUGUCGUGAGAUGUUGGGUUAAGUCCCGCAACGAGCGCAACCCUUAUUGUUAGUUGCCAUCAUUCAGUUGGGCACUCUAGCGAGACUGCCGGUAAUAAACCGGAGGAAGGUGGGGAUGACGUCAAAUCAUCAUGCCCCUUAUGACCUGGGCUACACACGUGCUACAAUGGUUGGUACAACGAGUUGCGAGUCGGUGACGGCGAGCUAAUCUCUUAAAGCCAAUCUCAGUUCGGAUUGUAGGCUGCAACUCGCCUACAUGAAGUCGGAAUCGCUAGUAAUCGCGGAUCAGCACGCCGCGGUGAAUACGUUCCCGGGCCUUGUACACACCGCCCGUCACACCACGAGAGUUUGUAACACCCGAAGUCGGUGAGGUAACCUUUUGGAGCCAGCCGCCUAAGGUGGGACAGAUGAUUGGGGUGAAGUCGUAACAAGGUA